UCCACCCUACCCACCCCAUAUUGUUCAUGUCGCUAGCCCAAAAAAAUAUUGAAAAAUGGAAUUUUCGAAUUUUGCUCCCACGUAGUGAUUAGAAAAUCGUUUGCAGACGAAUAAUUCACGUUCAUGAGUGUUCAAGAGUAGUUAAUUUUCGAAUAAUAUAGAAAAAUUGGUUUUCAAUCAUACUAUAGUGCAAGCGUCAUGGUCACGUGAUGCCGCCCACUUAACUACAAUAUGUGACUGUGUAAGAUCCAGCUGUUCCUCCAUUACUCCAAAAUCAUUGCUCCAAAAUGUAAUUUCCUUGAUGUAAUAGGAUAAUUGGAAAAAACGAAUUGAGCGCCCGAGAAUUUAUCCAGUGGAGCAGUUGGAAUCAAGGUGUUUGGAAGUACAACUCAUGAAGAGGGCUAAAUUAUUAUAUCAUCCAUUUAAUGACGCUGUGAAUUCUGAGCCCAAUCCCCUCUCAUAAGGUUAAAAUGAAGAUUUCACACGUGCCAACUCCUUAUAUGAAUCCGUGGACGGUUCGAAGUAUAUUAUUGCGAUUGUGGGUCACUUGGAGAAUGGAAAACCACAAUGGCCACCUCAGAUGCAAUUCUGUCAUGUGUGCAAUGCAGAAACCCUGGAAUUCUGAUUAUUUAUCUUCAACUAAAAGGUUGACGUGAUGAGGCCCUUAAAAUCCUCCUGUUGAGGGGAGGGAUACAACUAUUUCUCAACGAUUAAAUGUUACCAUCAAGAUAUCCUGUUAUUUUAUUUUAAAGAGCGGGCCGGAUUCAAGUCAUCACAUUGAUUUCUUCGUCUUCUGGUCACAUAUUUUACUCGAAUAAAACGAAGCGAUAAAACAGCAUAA